rnacentral:lncRNA from 1 species
GCUUUGCUACCGAUGCAAGUGCAAAAGGAUUGUCCACAGAAACCAUUAGAACUUUAGGUAGAUUGAAAUCCGAUGCAUUCAAAUUGUACAUUAGACAAUCAGGUCAAAUUUCUAACAUUUAGUCAAUUUUACCUGUAUCACAACUGAUCAUGUAAUGACACAUUUUGGAGAAUGAAUUACUGCGUUUAUUAUUUUAUAUUUUGUACAGGGCUCGUGGGUCACAGCUCAUUGCAUAUCGCAUAAAGAAUAACAGUUCAUGUUAUAUGGAAACAGUGGACAAAUGGGAAAGGUGAAUUAUGACGCUCAUUCAAGCUGAUUCAAGGACAACCUUAAUCCAGGAAUCCAUCCGUUUACUAUUGAAAUGAAAAAAAAUUACUGAGAGGAAGUUGACAGAACACAGCGUGCUAGUACUGUUAUAUCAAAAUCUCGCAUUUGCAUUUAGUUAUAUGAGACAGUAAACUUAUGACUAUAUAUUUAGAAAUAUAGUUAUUU